rnacentral:lncRNA from 1 species
GUUUGUUUUGUGGUGCAUUUUCUUUGACCAACUCUCAAGGAUUCAAUCAAUAUCUUGUACCAUCUCCUCUCAAAAUAUAAGAUGUUUUUGUAUACUAGACAGAUGUAGUACCAUUUUGCUGCAUGGCUUUAUUAAUAUAAAGUGGGGCGUAUGCCUGCUUGGACAAACUCCAAGGUACGCCCAAUGGUCAUGCGCAGUUACAGAGAAACUCCAAGGUACGGCCAAUGGCAAUGCGCAGAUACAAGGUAAACAAGAACCAUGUGUGAGAACCAGUAUUAUCUCUGCAGUUUAUGUAAAUCUGUAACUCUGGCCGCGGGCGUUGCAAAACGGGUUUCUUUGGGAUCAAAGGAAGUUGAAUGAGACAAGUUUUGCUGGAACCAGCGUCCUAUAUUCGCUCUUCUAAUUUUCUAUCAGCUCUGAUGCCUGGAUCAAUUGUACAGUGGCACUGGGCUUGAGACUUAUUGCUGCUUCCGAGCUCACCUCCUACUAUUCAGAAACCUGAGGCUGAAGCUGGUGAAAAAUUACAAGUCAAGAUCAGAUGUGACGCAGAAUGGCAAGAGCUAUUGUUGCUAUUUUCGCUACAAUGAUUCUUUUUCCUGUAAUAAUAGGGUAUAGAAAAGCUACAUUUGCUUAUAUAGAUGAGAGAGGGCCUUCAAGCAAAGUCAUGUGUGAUGCAAUACACAGGCUACCCUUUGAAACUGGAGGGUUGCAGCAUGUGAAGGGGGCAUGUAAGUUUCUUUACACCGAUUAUCCAACAGCACCUGUGACGGCGACUGCGCCUCCGAAACUGGAACUUUGUGAUCCUGAUGGAUCAAAAUGUAAGCUUUCGGAUGCAAAGGUGAACACCCAAUAACUCGAGUGGCAAACAAACAACAAUACACAAGAUUCUCAUGAUCAGUUCUCAACUAUGAUCUGAUCUUCUGCAAGGAAAAGAAAAUACCAACAUACCUAUUUGGCACACGAACGAAAGACCGACUUACUACUGCGGUUUGGAUCGGGUGAACUUGAAUUUCAUUCUAUGCCAGCCAGGUUCUCCAGAGACAAGAGCACGAACGCGAUACAUAACAAGCACAAUGCUAACUAGCAGUUGCAGAAACAUUGUGCUAGCUAGAUAGUAUAAUUGCUAAUCCUUUCAAUCAAUGAAGUGAUGAGAAAAGAAACAAUUGGUCAGCUGCACAACAAUUUUAACUCCUGCAGAUACAUGCCAAGAUAAAUUUUGCCGACGGGUGGUUAAUAGAUAUUAAAAAGAAGAGAAGGAUGUAAACCAUGUGUAUACAGUGCCAAGGUAUACUUCCUGAAUAAGAAACUAGCAAGCACCAUUCAUCCGGCACAAAAUAUGGUCUUACCACAGGUGCCUGUAGAAACAAACAGAUGACAAAUCGUAAGUUCUGCAUAAUCAGGAAGGCAGAAGAGAGAACUUGAGUAUUGAGUUUAGUUUCUGCUAGAUUUAUCAGAAACAAUUAAAACUGGCUUGGAACUAGCUGUACCUCUUUGCAUGAAGGAGGUUGAGGAGCAGCACCUUUGUUGAGGAGUCUGACCCAGGUGAGGGUGGUGUCGACGUAGCUGACGAGAGGGAAAAGCUGGAGGUAGAACGUGAUCUCACCCUGCACCUCGCGGAGCUCGUCGGCGUGGCGCGCCCCCAUGAAGCACCGGUAGAGGUAUCCGCUGCCCUGGCAGGACCUGACGAGCAGCAGCGCACGCCGGAGCGUCUCCUCGAGCUGCUCAAUGGGGUUCCUCGUCUCCGGCUGCUGCAUGAGCUGCGCGGCGUGGAGCUGGUGCAGCAGGUCUCCGAUCAUCUUGGCGCGGCGCGCGAGCUGCAGGCAGGUGGCUCUGUUCCUCCGGACCGUCUGCGCCGCAUCGGCGAUCAUCUUGAUGAGCCCGUAGGCGUCCACUCCUGCAAAUUGCGCAACCAUGGCAGCCUGACCAACUAGAGCCAUUGCUUAUCUUGGUUUGGUUCCAAGAGAAGGAGGAGGAGGAUGCGUUCACUCUGGGUCAGGGAGAGCAAGAUCCAACUAGCUGCUCAUAAAAAGGCCGCCCGCGAGAUACGGUGUACAAGUGAAGACGAUGACUUUGACUAGCGUGGGCAAUACACACCAUAUGCUCCUACCGUUCAAUUAUUGGAUUUGUCAAUCAUACCUCCAUUAUUGACAUUUGGACAGAGAUAGCUUAAGGUGGGUCCAAAGUUGGGCAGGUUCCCGGAAACUUCAGGCUUCUAGUAUGAAUGGUUCGUCAGAAAUGAGACUGAGCAAGGGCUAGGGCAGUCGGUCCGACGUGACACGACCAAUUGUUCAAGGUUUGAAGUGAUACUUAACGAACUUACUGAGAAGCUUCCCAUCUUGUGUGACCUCCAUUUUUUUUUGAAUUUUCACGGGGGGAGCUUCCCCACCUGAAUUGUAUUCAUGUUGCCUAUAAGGCUUUGCAGCCUAUCACAAGAUAGAUUCAAAUGAACCGAAAAUACAGGGGGAUAUGUAAGGAGAAGAAAUAAAGAAAAAUGACACACACAACAACACACAUAACAGGGGAGAAGAGAGAGGGAAAGCACAACACUACACCACAAGAGCACCGCCAGUGUAAACAAAACGACAUUGGCCAGCCAAGACCAAACCAGGACACUACACCAUCGAUGCAAUCGAAAGGCGUCGCGCAUCCGAGCCUGCACAACGCCGUGACACCACCUGCGUCGUGGGGUGCAAUCGAAAGGUCACGUGAGCCGAGACAACGCCACGGCACAUGUGUGCCACCGGCACAGUUGAAGGGCAUCGCGUGUUCGAGACCGCACAAUGUCGCAACACCACUUGUGUCCUAGGGCACAAUUGAAAGGUCAUGCGAACCGAGACAACACCACAACGCAUGCACUACAAGAAAUAUGUCAACUAGUGACCUUCUGUAAGUGACCCUGUAAGAAUUGGUCAUAGAUCUAUGACCAUUUCAGACCAAUUGGUCAAAAGCUGUUCGGGAGGUUCCAAACCCUAAACCAUUGCGACCAUUUUGGUCAGAAAGGUCGUAAUUUGCUUAUACGAAAAGGUCAUAAAGCAAACAGCGCUAGUCCGCUGCCUUAUUUCUAGUUGUUAACGACCAAUAUAGAUGGUCAUAGCCUUGUAAAUUGUGGUGGGUUGCUAUGACUAGGCGCCACCACAUCAGUUUUGCCUUAGGUUGUGAAGCAACCUAUAUUUCUGUCAUUCCCAAAAUGUGUCAUGUCCAUGUGGCAGUUUUUGCCCUAGGUUGUGAAGCAACCUAUAUUUCUGUCAUUCCCAAAAUUCCCAAAAAAAUCUCAUAAAUUCUUCGGGUCAUAUCUUCGUCAAAUAUGUAAAAACCUUCCUUGCCUAGUUCAAAAAUAUUCAUUUUCCUAUUCUGUUCAGAACAACAGCUUGUGAAGGAAGUACCACUUUGGCAUGUCCUAAUAGUAUCCAUUUUCUACAGUGCUUUCCUAUGCCCAAAUAACCAUCCUCCACCAAAUGCCAGCUCAAUCCAUUCAUUAUUUUGAGCCCAGCUUCAACAUUCGUAUUUAUGUCCGGUGUGGUACUUUGCAAAGCAAGUACCACCUAGGCCCCUCCUUUUGAGCUGAAAAUUUGUGAAGACGGUCUUCUUAAUAACUAAUCAUCCUCAGCCAAAACUCACGCCCAUUAGCCAUGUACAUUUCCCGUACCGCUAAUCAAACACUUGGCUGCUUAUUCAUGUUUGAGCAUCGAUCGGUCUCCUCGUGAGAAUCUUAUGUUGUGAUUUUCUUCCUAGCACCUACCUGGGGAGUUCCCAACCCACUAGACAUACCUAGGCCGCCCAGAACACAUGGCAACGCCACGAUCACGCGGUGACCACGCGGCGGGCAUGCGAGCUUACGCGCUCUAGAGUUGGGGCCCUCGGCCACCGUCCAAACCUCGAUGUCUCGCCAUCAAACCAUGUAUUUCUGAUUAAAUAGAUACUUAUUUACCUAGAAAUGAUUUUUCGAAAAAAUAAAGAGCAAACUAUGAGGCAACUGCAGUUCAAAUUUGACCCGUUUCCAGCUGAAUCAAUGGCAAUUCGUCUUUUUCACCAGAGGUGGAUCAAAACUUUUUCCAACCAACCAUUUUGUCAAUUGUGCAUUAUAUAUGGCCUAGUAUUUUAUAAAAUUGAUUUGGUCCAUUUUUGCAACAAUUAUUUGGUAGUUCCUUCACAAAAAAAACCUCCUUUUGGGCACUCGGAAAAUGAAAAAUGAAUUUUCCGUGCAAAAAAAUGAAAAAUUCCUUAGGCAACAUUGUUUUCCAUUCCAAUAUGCACCCUUGUGCACAAUAUGAGAUCAUUUGAACAAACUAUGCCAUGAAUGUGGCUAUACGAUUGAUCAUUUGGCUUGAAAGCUAUUGAUCUCCAUACGUGAUAGCUCGUUUCUGAGAACACUUUUUUAAAAUAAUUACCGUAUUACAAGUUUAUUAUUUUUCCUGGAAACUUGGUCAUAUAUAAUGACACAAUGUGAAGGUUUUCCAAUUUUCUGAUUUGUUUUUGAAUUUUUUAUGCCCAUUUCAAAAUGCGGUCAAAACGGCGGGAAUGACCGUUCCUAGCUAGUGGCUGAAUCUUGUAAUUUUUUGGUGUUUCUCUGAUUAAAUAGAUACUUAUGUACCUAGAAAUGAUUUUUAAAAAAAUAAAGAGCAAACUAUGAGGUAGCUGCAGUUCAAAUUUGACCCGCUUCCAACUGAAUCGACGGAAAUUUGUCUUUUUCAUUAGAGGUGGAUCAAAACUUUUUCCACACAACCAUUUGGUCAAUUGUGCAUUAAAUAUGGCCUAGUAUUUUAGAAAAAUAAUUUGGUCCAAUUUUGCAAUAAUUAUUUGGUAGGUUCUUCAAAAAAACUCAUUUCGGGCACUCGAAAAAUGGAAAAUGGCUCUUUUGUGCAAUGAAAGUGAAAACUCCCCAAAUCAACAUUGUUUGCCAUUCCAAUAUGCACCCUUUUGCACAAUAUGAGAUCAUUUGAACAAACUAUGCCAUGAAUGUGGCCAUAAGAUUGAUCAUUUGGCUUGAAAGCCAUGAAUCUCCACGCGUGAUAGCUCGUUUCUGAGAACACUUUUUUAAAAUAAUUGCCGUAUUACAAGUUUAUUAUUUUUCCUGGAAACUUGGUCAUAUAUAAUGACACAAUGCGAAGGUUUUCCAAUUUUUUGAUUUUUUUGAAUUUUUUAUGCCCAUUUCAAAAUGCGGUCAAAACGGCGGGAAUGACCGUUCCUAGCUAGUGGCUGAAUCUUGUAAUUUUCUUGGUGUUUCUCUGAUUAAAUAGAUACUUAGGUACCUAGAAAUGAUUUUUGGAAAAAAUAGAGAGCAAACUAUGAGGUAGCUGCAGUUCAAAUUUGACCCGCUUCCUACUCAAUCGGUGGAAAUUUGUCGUUUUCAUCAGAGGUGGAUCAAAACUUUUUACACCCAACCAUUUGGUCAAUUGUGCAUUAAAUAUGGCCUAGUAUUUUAGAAAAAUAAUUUGGUCCAAUUUUGCAAUAAUUAUUUGGUAGUUUCUUAAAAAAAACCUCAUUUCGGGUACUCGAAAAAUGAAAAAUGGCUCUUUUGUGCAAUGAAAGUGAAAACUCCCCAAAUCAACAUUGUUUUCCAUUCCAAUAUGCACCCUUUUGCACAAUAUGAGAUCAUUUGAACAAACUAUGCCAUGAAUGUGGCCAUAGGAUUGAUCAUUUGGCUUGAAAGCCAUGAAUCUUCACGCAUGAUAGCUCAUUUCUGAGAACACUUUUUUGAAAUAAUUGCCGUAUUACAAGUUUAUUAUUUUUCCUGGAAACUUGGUCAUAUAUAAUGACACAAUGCGAAGGUUUUCCAAUUUUUUGAUUUGUUUUGAAUUUUUUAUGCCCAUUUCAAAAUGCGGUUAAAACGGCGGGAAUGACCGUUCCUAGCUAGUGGCUGAAUCUUGUAAUUUUUUGGUAUUUCUCUGAUUAAAUAGAUACUUAGGUACCUAGAAAUUAUUUUUGGAAAAAAUAAAGGGCAAACUAUGAGGUAGCUGCAGUUCAAAUUUGACCCGCUUCCACCUGAAACGGCGGAAAUUUGUCUUUUUCACCAUAGGUGGAUCAAAACUUUUGACACCCAACCAUUUGGUCAAUUAUGCAUUAAAUAUGACCUAGUAUUUUAAAAUUGAUUUGGUCCAAUUUUACAACAAAUAUUUAGUAGGUUCUUUACAAAAAAAACCAUUUUUGCCACAAGAAAAUGAUUAAAAAUAUCUAGUAAGAUAAAAAAUGCAUGCAAAUAGAUGAUCAUCCAUAAAAAUGGGGUCUAACUUGAGUGAAAAAUUUAGUUCUCCCGUUUUGCAAAAUAUUUUGAUAGUUGCUUCACAAAAUUCCCCUAUUUUUAGUACUUAGAAACUAUUUUAAAUCACUGAUUUUCCGAACCAAUCAGGCCUCUUCCCACGGAUCGAUGACAUGGCGUCCAUCCAUCCAUCCAUCCAUCUCUCCAUCCCACAUCCAUCCAUACAUCCAUCUAAAGAAGAAAAGAAACAAAAAAGAAAAAGAGAUACCCCACGCACCCCAAACCCUAGAUCAAACCCCUCCCCCCAUCGCACCCCUCCUCCCUCCUCCCAGUCUCCUCGCCGCCGCCGCCACUUCCUCCUCUCCGUCCCCGGACCCUCUCGAUCCACCUCCUCCCACAUAUAACACCCCCAGUGUCAUGCUACAGUAACCCACUGUGAUUAAACUAAUCAUUUUUCCAAACAGUGCUUAAUCACCUUUAAUUCAAAUCUCAUUUGAAAUUCCACUUUGGAAUCAAAUUCAAUUUGCAAGUGAUUUUUGAAGUUGCACAAAAGUUGUUGCAAAAUAGUCCAUCAUUUAGUAAAAAUUCCAUAAAAAAUGAUUGUUAAGGAAAACAACAUCACCUCCAAGCUAAGAUGGACUAUAGCAAAUUAAAACAGUGCCACUCAGCAAAUUAAUUGCUUUUCCAUCUUUUUGCAAAUUCCAUCUAAUUCAAACUUCUUCCAAACUUUUUGUGGCUGUGUCAAACAUUGCAUUGCAAUUAUGUGGCCAAGUCCCACAUUUUACAGAAUCCUUUUGGUAGCUCCAAAAAUUUGCAAAGCAUUCUGUAAAAAGAGAAAAGAAAUAGAAAUGCAAAAAAUAAAGAAGAAGGAAAAGGGAACCCCCCUGCCCCUGGGCCUAAGGCCACAGAGACAGGCCCAGCCGGCCAGGCCCAGCUCACCGCCCUGGUCGUCUCCCCCACUGUUCCCCCGGUGCACGUCGCUACAGGAGGCUGGUCGCCGCCGAACCACCUCGCCGACAACGACCCCCCGCGAGAGGAUAAGGCCUCCACACCCCCGGACGCCUCGAGUCCCCCCCUUACCUACCGCCACUCCCCCCUCUCCGUCCCCUUCCCUCUCCCUCUCGGCCUUCCCUCAUCAGAUCCCCCGCCUCACCGAACCCCUCCUGUCGCCGCCUGCUGUCGUCCGCGCGCUCCGGCGCCACCCCGGGCUGCGCCAGGGUGUUUAGUAGCUGCUCGGGCCUCGACCUUGUCCUAUCGCCCAACAGCAGGAGCCGGAGAGGCCCCGCGUCUUUGGCUUCGAGGUCGCCUCCCCGUCGACCACCGACGCGCCCCCGUCUGCGUCGAGCUCUGCUGCUACUAAACUGACCACAGGCCACCGUGAGCCGCUCGGUGAGCUCCUCCCUCCCUCCUUUCCUCUCCUCGCACCUUCUGCAUCACCGUAGCUUGCUCGCCGCCGCGCCAUUUCUUUUUCUAUCCGCCGCCCGAACUCGUCGCUGCCGUCGCUUCCGACCACCAUAGCCGGCGCCGUUGGGUUAGAACGAUGCGGUGAUGUUCCCGCGUUUGAAUGAGCCCGAACGCGUGCGCAAAUUCACACCGCAGCUGCCUCCCCGUAGCGCACCUGCGAGCUCCGCCGCCGAUGUGCUCGCCGCCAUCGCCGUAGAGCCUCCCUGGCCGCGAGACCGCCACAGUUCGACGUGGUUUGGUCUCCGCUUUAGAACGCGCCCAAGUGCGCGCAAAAUGGUGGCCGGAGCACUUUUUCCGGGCACAUCCGAGGCCGCACCGCCGUAGUUUUGGUCGCCGGCGUCGAGUCUCCGGUCGUCGCCAACAUGACCUGACAAGUGGGCCCGCUGUGACACUGUCGCUGGGCCCCGCGGAUCCUAGUUGACCUAGUUGACUGGGUCAACUGCUGACUGGGCACUCUGCCCACUGACAUGUGGGCCCCGCGCUAAUUAACAGGUUUCAUAAAUAAAUAAAAUGUUAAUUAAUCUGUUAAUUUGUUUUAAUCACUAAUUAGCCACUGACUGGUGGGGCCCACACCCCUAAUUAGUUAUGUUAGUCAAUUUAAUCAACUGUUAGUGCCGCAGACGCCGACAUGUGGGUCGCACUGGACCCAUAGGUCAGGAUUGACCUCAGUCAACCGUCCUGUUGACAGCUGACAUCACCUCUACGUCAUGCUGACGUCAUCCGCUACUGUUCUAGAUAAUGUUGAUUUAGAUAAUAAAAUAAUUCCAGUAAAUGGUUUAAUCUUUGAAAAUUCAUAGAAAAUAAAUCGUAGCUCGGUUGGAAAAACUUUAUACAUGAAAGUUGCUCAGAAAAACGUGACGAAUCUGGAUACGUGGUCUGUUCAUCUGUCACAUGCCCCUAGCAUGCUGAACAUGGGACUUUCCCCCUCCGGCCAUUUGUCUGACACAGGUCCGGAACCGGGAAAACAUUCCCGGUUGCCUUCCCCCCCCCCUCGCCGGUAUAUGUAGCACCGCAUUAGAACACGUCUAGCUCUGCCUGUUGUUCGGUUAUGCUAUGGUUACUUUAUAUUUACUGUUUCUUCUCCCUCUUCUCCCCGGUAGACCCCGAGACCGAUGCUGCCCCUGUGAUCGACUACGUCGACGACGACCCCUCCUUGCCAGAGCAACCAGGCAAGCCCCCCCUUUGAUCAUCCCGAUAUCGCUCAUUCCUUUCUCUCAUGCUUGCAUUAGAUUUUGCUACUAUUAUUGUAUGCUCCUAUUCUGAUGCAUAGCCUGCUUUUGUAUCUGCUGUUGUACCUUACCUGCUUAUCCUAAACUGCUUAGUAUAGGUUGGUUAGUGAUCCAUCAGUGACCCCCACAUUGUCCUUGUUGCCCCUGCUUCAUCAUUGAAGACCCAAUCAACGGGAUCGAAGACCAGGCCCCGGCACCGCACAUCACUUUCCCCUUAGUUGCUCGACAAUGUUGGGUUACUAUCGAGUGCCAAGGGUGAGACCUCUACAGCACUUCUGAUGUUAACCCUAUAGCAUAGCUAUUCAGUCGUGGUCAUCGAGGGUGAUUCCGCCUUAACCACUUCCGAUACGACUCUGUCGUGCAACCCCUCAAGUGUGAACCUCGGGGUGAUUCAUCUUACGUUCACCUUGAUGAUUACAUCGAGUGAAAUUCACCGGGGGUGAUUCAUCGGGUUUUCCCCUUGAUGUUUGGACACACGGUUACUAUGAUUACUAUGACUUUACAAUGAACCAUGUUACUAAAGACGGGUCGACCCUGAGGGGUACCCGCGCGAGCAUAAUUGCGAGUGAUGUGGAGACGGGUUGACCUGGAGGGUACCCGAGAGUUGAAUAUGAGGCGUGGCCGGGCAUUCUUAGCCCUUGCCGCAAGUCCUCGAGACGGGGCAACGGGGUCACAUCUUUCGUGAGUCUCCGCUUGUUACCGCGCGUUCCUAAUCCACUACGAUUUGGAUAUUUGAUCCGAGGGGCCUCUGGCCUGAUAGCACUAACCAUCACGUGUGCAUAGUAUGGGCGUUCUGCGUCGUAUGCAUCAGCCGAAGCUUAAUAGACGUCAGCAACUGAGUGGCGCGCGCCGGGUUGGACUGGUUACGCCUUGUCUUGUAUAAGGGAGGCUAGGUCUGCUCACCGGCCGCGUACGCAACAUGCAGGAGUUUCCGGGGAGAUGGCCCAUGACCCCUGGGGGCAUAGGUUUAGUCCGGCGUGCUGACCUCUCUGUUAAGUCUAGGUCGGGUUGUGGCGUAUUGUUUGGCCAAGGCCGGGCAUGAACCAGGAAAGUGUGUCCGGUCGGAGUUAAUCAAGCGUGGUGGGUAAGUUGGUGCACCCCUGCAGGGAAGAAAACAUCUAUCGAUAGCCUGUCCUACGGUAACGGACACUCGGAGUUGUAUCCCGAUCGAUACAACUAGAACUGGAUACUUGUGAUGAGAAUUGGAUGGUGAUGAGAAUUGGAUUGUGAUGAUAAUUGGAUAGUACAACUCUGGGAUUUCUUUCUCGCAGGGAGUCGAGAAAGGAUCUCUAGCCGAGGUUGAUAACACUACUACUACUUUACUUUAUGCUACUCUACUCCCUCCUGUUUGCUGCAAGAUGGUGGUUUCCAGAAGAUGCUAGUCUUCGAUAGGACUAGGCCUUCUCUCUAUUCUGGCAUUUCUGCAGUCCAGUCCACAUAUACAACCUUCCUUUGAUAAUGUUGCAUCUGUAGUGCAGAUCCUUGCUUGCGAGUACUUUGGAUGAGUACUCACGGUUGCUUUGCUCCCUCUUUUUCCCCUUUUCGAUUCUUCUCGGAGGACGCAACCAGAUGACGGAGUCCAGGAGCCAGAUGACACCUUUGACGACUGCUACUACCCCGAGGCUGCCUACUACCACGUGACGGAGACCGCGGAUGACCAGGAGUAGUUAGGAGGCUCCCAGGCAGGAGGCCUUGCCUUUUCGGUCGAUGUUGCUUUUGUGCUAGCCUUCUUAAGGCAAACUUGUUUAACUUAUGUCUGUACUCAGAUAUUGUUGCUUCCUGUCAGGACCCCGACUCGAUGUCACAUCGAUCUAGCCUGUAGCACCUCAUAUCACUUUGCGGCCUCACGCACGGUAUUCCCACGGGUGUCGCCUUACCUUUGCCCGGGACCGUUUGCGCCUUUUGGCUCACGUAUAUGAUAGUGUCGCUAGCAUCCAUAUGAUAAGGAGCCCGGGCUGACAUGACUAGUCGUAAACCCAAAGUGGCACAGACUUACAGGGACAUGCAUCCAUGACCCAGCAUCGAACGUGUCGGUCAUCAGCGAGUGAAUCCAGGCUGUAGCACUGGGCUAGAAGGACUCCGGUGAACCGGGCUGUAGCGGGCUAACAGGACUCCGGUAUUCAUCGCGUGACAUUUCCCCGAAGGGACAGACACAGGAACGAAGAAGGACACAUGCCGGCCAGCCUAAGUGUUCCGGAGCAGUAGCAAGCUACCAUGGCUCGGUGGAAACACUAGGAGACAUUUCCCGGUAAGAGAGGCUACUAAAGAUAAACAACUAGAUGGUCAGAUCCCACACAUACCAAGCAUUUCAAUAACAUACACACAAUAUGCUCGAUAUGUGCAAAUACAACAUGGCAUCACAACAUGACUCUACAAAUCAAGUAUUCUAUUCAAUAGGCUCCGAGGAGCGAGAUAUUACAAACAUGGGUCUCAUGACCCAACAAUCAGAGCAUACAAGUCAAAGCACAAGCGGAAGCUAUCAUGUCUGAGUACAGACAUCUAUAAAUGAAAAAGGCUGAGAGGCCUGACUAUCUAUCAGAUCCUGCCGAGGGCACCAGAUCGUAGCUGAGGUAACAAGCUAAACGUCGAAGUCCACGUGGAACUACUAGUGAGACUGAAGUCUCUCUGCAAAAACAUAAAAUAGGCAAACGUGAGUACAAAUGUACCCAGCAAGACUUACAUCAGAACUAUCUACAUAUGCAUCGUUAUCAACAAAGGGGAUGGUGGGGUUUAACUGCAGCAAGCCAGCUUUGACUCGGUGGCUAUCCUGAACUACGACUGCAAGCGACUCUUUUGAGGUGGCGCACACGAGUCCACAUAUUCACCAUAUCAAUACACCACUAUGGAUCCGCUCCCGUCUCCCUACGAGAACGCCAUCCAUAGCACUCACGCUUAUCUUGCGUAUUUUAGAGUAUCCACUUUCACUUGUCUAUGAACUGAUAUAAGCAACCCAGAAGUCCUUUUCCGCGGACACGGCUAUUCGAAUAGAUCAUAUUAACCCUGCAGGGGUGUACUUCUUCACACACGCUCUCACCACUUACCGCCGUUUACACGACAUGUACUCGGCAACCUUCAAGCGGAAGCCCAACGUGGGUGUCGGCCACGGCCUGCCUAAACACUCAAGUCUCUAGUCCAGGUUUAUCGCCUAUUCGGGUUCCAUCCAUGAGGAGAUCCACUUUACCGGUUAUCGAGGGACCAAUAUUAUAGUUCUUGGGAAAUGUUCCAAACCAUCAUAUCUGCCUGAGAUUCAGAUCUGGUUGGUGUCAGGAUAUCCCAGACUCAUCAAGUCUAGAAAGAUAAAUGAAAGUGUAGGGUAAGGUAAAGGGGAAACGCAAACUAGUAUAAUCUUCACGAUCCAGGGUGCACUUCAGUUGAACGUUGAUUCAUUCAUCAUUAUUGUCUUGAAGUCUUGCUCUGAGAAAUCCUGUCAACAUGACAUGGAGGGAAGAAGGAGACUCUAGAAGGGUCGAUCUUCUCGAAGAUCGAACAACUCAGGAUUAACUCCCGGAAUGUGACAUAGCAACAUCUCUCAAGCUGAGAGGCGAAGCAUACCUCUAGAGGGACGGAGUGGAGCAGGUGACGAGGUUCACUAGGUAGACAGCAAUUCCAGACUUAGGAAUGUGGUGAUUGGUUGUCAACAUAGCGAGGAGUUGAAUUGCCAUGACACCACGACGAAACAUCCUGGAGAAGGGUGAUUCGUAGAUUAUUAUCUUAAGUGGCAAAAAGAAUUACCUUUGAUAUAGAGAUCACUGAGACUCUCUAUAUCAGCCGAAGGCAAAUCACAGCAAUCGAUUGGCGGGGUCGGUAGAAUGGCAUACUCGGAUUUGGAUGAUGUGGAUUACCUUGUUGAAGACAACGUAAUGGAUGAAUUUGCUUAUCACCGGAGAUGGAAGAGACCCGUGGUAGAAUGGCACAUUGGCGGUGCAAGCUGGGAACAAAAUGCAAAUGCUGGGAAUGAUUCUGGUAACUGGGGAAGAACCCAACAAUAGGGAGUGAAUUCACUGUUUGAAAAGAUCAUAGCAUUGCCGAGGAAACUGAGAGCAAACCCAGUUAGUGCUGAUGAUAACACCUAGCGCUUGUGCGUGCUCUCAAGAACUUGAGCAUUUCCAUAUUCAUCAAGGUUUUACCAACAUCCGUGUCAAGGAUCCUGGCAACACAACAUACCACCAUGAUGAACAUCGAUGGACGAUGCAGAUGCAAAGGAAGAUAACACCUUCUCAGAUUUCACCUUAGCGAGGCCAAGGAAAUAAAAAUCUGGAUGAUCGACCGAGAGACAUUUAGCACUCCGCUUCCAAUGUUCUCCUUGACGUGCUAGUGUAUCCCAUUCAUAGAUAUGGUUUGAUAUCUAGAACAUCAAGUAAAAAGGUCGGACUUCGGGAUCUCAAAAUCCAUAGGGGCAUUUAGGGAGUAAAUCCUACAAAAUCCCUAUGGGGAGGUGGCCAACUUCCUCAAUCAAGAUAUUAUAAUAACAGGUCUUCCAGCUGGGUGUGUUGGCCACGACAUCCACUUUACCGGUUAUCGAGGGACCAAUAUUAUAGUUCUUGGGAAAUGUUCCAAACCAUCAUAUCUGCCUGAGAUUCAGAUCUGGUUGGUGUCAGGAUAUCCCAGACUCAUCAAGUCUAGAAAGAUAAAUGAAAGUUUGCAACACAAAUCGAUGGUAUGACGUUGCGAGAUUCUCGGGAAAUGAACUACGAUAGUAAGCUCCAAAACAUGAGCUGGUUCUGCUACAAACAUGUGAACACGUUGUCCCGGACAAGCAUGACCACGUGGUAGUCUUACAAUAAAACACUACCGAGUUCUGGUUGGGAACCAUCACCGUGGAUAACGAAGUCCUUGCAUAAGUCAUAUGAUUAGCUCUUAUGAAGGAACUUCUUCCCCUUGAACAAAUCAAUCAGUGGCUUGGUGUGCUCGGGACACAUAUGGAAUGAAGGUUGCAAGUCUCCAGACCACAGAAUACUUCGCACGUGUGCAUGACUAAUUUGGAAUGAUUCCAGGGAAACAAAACAAUCUUCCUCAAAUUCAUGGCGGCAACUUGCAUCAUAUGCACAUGAAUUAGGGAAAACCACUACUUUCAUUCAAACAUAUGCUUCAUGAACGAAACACGAAGAAAUGCUUACACAAGUUUCCAACACUAGGUUGAUGUUCAACAUGAUUCAUGGGGGAGACAAAAUGCUACUGAUGGGCUCAACAUCAACUCAUCGGAAUUUCCAUAUCACUGGGCUUCCACCAUCAUGUGAACACGGUGAUAGCAUUGGUCAGACCAAAGAUGUAAUGGUGUAUGCUCGAGGGAUCAACCACGAGUAGGACAACAUUACGAGCAUCGUUGGUACUGAUUUGAUUUCACGAUAGCCCACACUCAAAUCAAGGGAUUGAUAAGACAAUAGGUCCAGCAACUGAUCACAGGGACAUCUUUCUUCAACACACACUACACAAGAUUAUCCCUUUGGAACGAACUAAGUCAGGCAAGCUUUUAUCCUCCAACUCUCCAAGUUGUUGUCCAGCUUAACCAACUAGCUCAGGGAUAUCUAACACCGAUUCUUGGAAAGAAGGUGGUUCAUAAGAAACCAACUUGAUCACGGGCUCAACAUAACGGUCAGGUGACGACCUGGUAGUACUUCCGAGAAGAUCUUCGGAAAAUCACGAACCACCGAUAUGUUAGUAAGCUCGAGAACAAUCUUGCUUUUUAGGGCAAGAUGAUAUGAUCAAAUGAGCGAGGACUUGACAAAUCCUAACUCAUCAAUCAAAGAGUGCACCAGGAAAUAAGGACUAGGUAGCACGAUCAAUCUUAGAAUGGUGAUUCAAUAACCAACAUACUAAGAAUAAAAUUAUUAUCCUUUAACUACCAAGCAACGAGGUUGCUAGGAGUAUUGAUUUCACACAUCACAAUUCAUUUGUCGGUAUUCCGGUUGCAUCAACACGGAACCGAGGAAUGAAAAAGGAUGGCGAGAAGUAUCACUAUGUCAAGAAUUCACAAAAGGUGGUGCAAUUCUCAUGAAAUUCCUGUCAUAAAGAAGGUAAUACUUCAGGGUAGAGCAGACCAGAAGCUGGAUUGUAACUUGAUCUGCGGAACACAACUACUUUGACCCAAUCCUAAAUAUGGAUGAGGUACUGGAGUUUGUUUCUCCUAGUCAUUCAGGACGGAAUGGCUUGACGGGCCACAAGAGUAAUAGGCAUCGACAAAUGAACGCGCGCAUACUCUUGACUAUCAAUUGAUAGACGAAGGUCAGUAGACAACUAAAGAGGGACAACUCAAAGGAACAUAUAACUUUCUGAGUUGUGGAUGCAUAAAUUAGUAUGUCGAACCGAGUUCAACAUAAUUCUUCCGGAUAACCCAUGCAGAAAGGUAGAACUGGCAGAGUCACAAUGUAGAAUCGAGAACCCAUCGAGAGCACUCUGAUUGUGAUCUUUCGAUCAGCGAGGAACAUCUGCCAUAAGCGGUUCAUAGUAUUUGGAAGAAAGGAAUACCACGAACAUCGAGGACUAAUGCAAAGGUUACUAAUAACCUAAAGGAACGAGCAAAACUAUCAACAUGAAGCAAGUAGGGUGAAUCUCGGGUUCAAAACCCAGGGAUAGAAUACCUACUACUAAAUGGCAUCACGGGAUGCUUUCGAUAAUGACGGCCAGAGUCAUCACACUGGAACAUAAAUCAUGGCUAGACUACUAGAUGAUCCCCUGAGACACCUAGGGUCAUAAUAAUAACUCCAACAUAAAGGUUGAGGCAGUAGAGUACCUCAGCUCAACAAUUUGUGUGAUUAACCUGGCCUAACAGACAUUGAAACCGGAGCAAAAGGAUUUGCAAAUGCAUCAGACUCUUUAGAAACCUGGGAUGACUCGGACAGCAUAACGGCUGUAAAUGCUCGGAAAAGAUUUGAGACAUUCACAAAAAUGGUGGCAUAACCACUUAGAAGCACAAUAUCAAGGUUCCGAGAUCAACAAUUAUCAUACGGAAGUAGUAGGAACUGAACUGAGACUUAAAUCCAACAAUCUAUAAGUCUACGGAUUAGUAACACAUGAUCCUGAUAGAAAGAAAAGAUAGCCUAGUUCUUAAUCCCGCAGGAAAGAUAAGAUGACUCAGAUCAGAAGGCAUAAGGUAUAAGGAGUAAAAAGAGCCUUACGUUCCAUCCCACAAUCAAUUCCCUUAUAUAACUAAAGAAUUUCUAGACUCAACUUCGACCAGUUUGGCUUGGUAAUCCUACAGGCAGUCAAGCUCUGAUACCAACGCUGUCAGGACCCCGACUCGAUGUCACAUCGAUCUAGCCUGUAGCACCUCAUAUCACUUUGCGGCCUCACGCACGGUAUUCCCACGGGUGUCGCCUUACCUUUGCCCGGGACCGUUUGCGCCUUUUGGCUCACGUAUAUGAUAGUGUCGCUAGCAUCCAUAUGAUAAGGAGCCCGGGCUGACAUGACUAGUCGUAAACCCAAAGUGGCACAGACUUACAGGGACAGGCAUCCAUGACCCAGCAUCGAACGUGUCGGUCAUCAGCGAGUGAAUCCAGGCUGUAGCACUGGGCUAGCAGGACUCCGGUGAACCGGGCUGUAGCGGGCUAACAGGACUCCGGUAUUCAUCGCGUGACAUUUCCCCGAAGGGACAGACACAGGAACGAAGAAGGACACAUGCCGGCCAGCCUAAGUGUUCCGGAGCAGUAGCAAGCUACCAUGGCUCGGUGGAAACACUAGGAGACAUUUCCCGGUAAGAGAGGCUACUAAAGAUAAACAACUAGAUGGUCAGAUCCCACACAUACCAAGCAUUUCAAUAACAUACACACAAUAUGCUCGAUAUGUGCAAAUACAACAUGGCAUCACAACAUGACUCUACAAAUCAAGUAUUCUAUUCAAUAGGCUCCGAGGAGCGAGAUAUUACAAACAUGGGUCUCAUGACCCAACAAUCAGAGCAUACAAGUCAAAGCACAAGCGAAAGCUAUCAUGUCUGAGUACAGACAUCUAUAAAUGAAAAAGGCUGAGAGGCCUGACUAUCUAUCAGAUCCUGCCGAGGGCACAAGAUCGUAGCUGAGGUAACAAGCUAAACGUCGAAGUCCACGUGGAACUACUAGUGAGACUGAAGUCUCUCUGCAAAAACAUAAAAUAGGCAAACGUGAGUACAAAUGUACCCAGCAAAACUUACAUCAGAACUAUCUACAUAUGCAUCGUUAUCAACAAAGGGGAUGGUGGGGUUUAACUGCAGCAAGCCAGCUUUGACUCGGUGGCUAUCCUGAACUACGACUGCAAGCGACUCUUUUGAGGUGGCGCACACGAGUCCACAUAUUCACCAUAUCAAUACACCACUAUGGAUCCGCUCCCGUCUCCCUACGAGAACGCCAUCCAUAGCACUCACGCUUAUCCUGCGUAUUUUAGAGUAUCCACUUUCACUUGUCUAUGAACUGAUAUAAGCAACCCAGAAGUCCUUUUCCGCGGACACGGCUAUUCGAAUAGAUCAUAUUAACCCUGCAGGGGUGUACUUCUUCACACACGCUCUCACCACUUACCGCCGUUUACACGACAUGUACUCGGCAACCUUCAAGCGGAAGCCCAACGUGGGUGUCGGCCACGGCCUGCCUAAACACUCAAGUCUCUAGUCCAGGUUUAUCGCCUAUUCGGGUUCCAUCCAUGAGGAGAUCCGGCCGGAGUUUCGCUCACAGCCCCAAACGAUGUGAACAGGGUUCCGUGACACCAAACGGGCGCCCGGUAUACCCGGCCACGUGCCUACCGCAUCACAGCCCACCCCUACGGUCAGCGCUGUCCACGGCCUCCAGCAUACUACAAACACCAGAAACUACUUGCAACUCCUGGACAGAGGACAAGGGUGAUUAAGAAGCCGAGAGGGUCCAUUGGUUUCGGGCCCAAUGCGUGGUAGUAGCUGAAUCAUGGAUCACAAACACAGAACUCAGUUCCUGAGGACGGCUGCAAUGAGACAACCCACCAUGUACUCCUACAUGGCCUCUCACCGCUACCUUUACCAAAACGUGUUCACACACUUAGCUCACACACAGUAGGACAUGUUCACACACCUCUGAUUCAUCCCUGAUGAAUCAGACCUGACUCAACUCUAAGCAGUAGCAGGCAUGACAAACAAACAUGAAUGAGUAGGCACAACAGGGCUCAAACAACUCCUACUCAUGCUAGUGGGUUUCAUCUAUUUACUGUGGCAAUGACAGGUCAUGCAAAGGAUAAAGGGGUUCAGCUACCGCAGCAAGUAACAGAAAAAUCGGUGUUGUCCUAAUGCAUUAAAAGAGAGCAGGAGCGAGAGAGUAGGAUUGUAUCAGAAUGAACAAGGGGGUUUUGCUUGCCUGGCACUUCUGAAGAUAACAUUGAGUCUUCAUCAGUGUCAACGAUCACAUCAUCGGUAUCACGUCUAUCGAGAGGGGACAAAUACCGGCAACAAAGAAGAAAUACAAUCAAUGCAAUGCACAAUAUGAUGCAUGCUCAUGACAUGGCAAUAUGAAUGUGUUUUGAGCUAAUGCAACUAGCAACAGAUUAAAUGAAGUUGGUUUGAAUACAAGAUUCAAAUUCAAACUCCAUAUGUGAUUAUUUAAAUGUCAUUCACUUCAUUUGCUCUAAACAGUAGUGAUAAGUUGUUCUAACAUGCAUGAAAAUGGUACAGAUGGAUUCCUUGAAUUUUUCUGAUAAUUUUUCAUAUAUAAAUUAUUUAAUUUGGAGUUACGGUUGAAUUUCUAUGAUUUAUUGAAGUUUUAGGCAUUUUCUGGAAUUUCCUGAUUAUUUUAAAUCCAGAAAAUCAUUUAAUGCGUCAGCAUGACAUCACCUUGACGUCAGCAGGUCAACAGGGCGCCUCCAGGUCAAACCUGACCUGUGGGACCCAUAUGUCAGCGUCACAGGUUAAACAGGGGGGUUUAUUUUAGUUUAAUUAAGGAUUAGGGCACUAGGGCCCACAUGUCAGUGGCUCUGGGGUUAGAUUAGGUGGUGAUUAGCUUAAGCUAAUCACUUGAUGGCGGGGGCCCACCUGUCAGUGUCAGCAGAGGGGGUAGUUAAAAUAAAAUAACUAAACUAAUUAACAGGGGGGGCUGGCCCCACCUGUCAUUGACCCAGGAAAAAGGGGGGGGGUCCCGCCGUGGUCAACGUGGUCAGACCCACCGGCGGCUUGACGCCGGCGAGGCCAGACGCGGUGGUGCGCGUCGGAAACCCACUACAGGGGCUCUUUUGGCGCGCAGGGAGCAGCUACGGGGAGAGGGUGGAGUGGCGCAUCCAACGGUGGCGGUGGCGGAGGCUGGGGUGGCCGGAGCUGCCGGCGGCGACCUCUUUUGCGGCUGCCGGAGCUCGGGUGUUCGCGGGACCGGCGCUGCGGUGUGCAAACAAGACGGUGGUCGCGCUAGUUUUACUCUACGGGACGCAACGAGUGCAACGGACGCAGGCGUGGGACCAAAAGGUCACCGGAGCUUCACCGGCGACGAGCCCGUGCGGCGGAGCGUCUCGGCUCCGGUAGAGGGGGCGGCUAGAGCUCGAAAUCGAGCUUGGGGUUAGGGGGAAACGGAGCAGGGACUCACGGGGAUCGUGCAGGGAGGGUCAGCGAGCUCGGGGGCGCGCCGGAGUGGCCGAAUUCGACGGAGAAGAUCCUCGGCGGCCGGCGAGGGGGAAAACGUCGGGGGCGGCGUUUCGGGGCUCUUCUGGUCGCGUGAGACGAUGAGGAGGACGAGGGAGGACUUGCGGAGCUCUGGGAGGCGUCGGGGAGGCGAGAGGGGGAUGGUGGCCGCGGUGAACGGCGUCGGUGGCGACGGCUGUGUUCGGGGUCGGGCGAGAGAGAAAGAGCAGAGGGGCGGGGCCUCGAGGAAGAGUGAGAGGGGUCCGAGGGGGCUGCAUGGCAUCGCGGGAGGGAACCAGGGGAGGAGGAGGCAGCCAGGCAGGGAGGAGGUGGCCGGGGCGCGUGGCCGCGCGCGCCGGGCGCGUGCCCGCGUCCUUCUGGCGAGGGAAGAAGACGACAGGGGGAGUAGCGGUGGCGGGCUGGGCCAGCGGGAGGAGCUGGGCCGGGCAGGUAAGCAGGUAAGUGGCCCAGGUGGCCGUCUCCCUUUUUAUUUUUGCUCUGUUUUAUUUUUUAAUCAUUGUUUUCUAUUUUGCAGGUUUGUUUUGAAUUUGGUUUUGAAACCAAUUCAAUUUAUUUUGCUUCUGACAAUAUUUUUAGGAGCUAAAAGAAUUAAAACAAUGCUCCACAAAAUAUUUCAGAAUUAUUGGACCUAUAUUUAUUUAACAGUAGAUAUAAGUCCAAUUCAAAUAGCUAUGAUUUAAAUUCAAAGUCCCAAAAAUAAAUCCUUAAAAAUGUUCAAUAUUUUGGUUGGGACCAGAACCCUUACCAAAAAUUAUCAAACAUUUAAGAAGAGCCAUUUGGAGCAAUGAAUAAGAUUUCUAGGGUUUUUGCCCCUCUUUUAUUUAGGGUUUUGAGGCUUCCAAUAAUUCCCUCAGUUCAAAUUUUCAGAAUUUAAAUAUGAUGCACACAUGAGCUGGCCUAGAGCACUACCAGCAGCUAGGGAUGUGACACUUCCGCUGACUCGUUUGUAUUCGAGCUGAUGAAUUCGAGCUCUCGAGGCCCCUGGCUUGUAAUAUAAAGCUUGAUUUAUUUUAAUUUGUGUCUAGAGUUGUGUUGUGAUAUCUUCCCGUGAGUCCUUGAUCUUGAUCGUACACAUUUGCGUGUAUGAUUAGUGUACGAUUGAAUCGAGGGCGUCACACCACCCACUGCCGACUCGUUGUCCUCCUUACCCACCGACGCCGACCUCGUCCCUCCCUUCCCUACCUUAGCGUCGCGCCCUCCCCGCCAGCCCCAUAGCUUGCCGUCGGGCCUCCCUCUCCCCUCCUCGCGGCUCCAUAGCAGCCAGAUCUUCCGCUCUCCGACCCCUCCGUCCUUGUGGUCGACUGGAUCCGCCCCUCCCGCUAUACGAAGCUCACCGCGACCCUAGCCCGUGGCUAGGGUUUCGGCUUCGGCGCUGCGUCCAUUGAUGGCACGUCUCAGGCGGCUCCUCUCCGUCGCCCACCGUGCCCCCUGGUGCCCUUUGCGCCUCUUCGAUGGCGCCCCCAUAGCUUGGUGUGCUCGCGCGCGUUGGCUGGACAACGGCGACACCGAACUCCUCCACCGCCCUCUGCACCAAGUACGACGACGACGGCCGCCCCGACUACGACUGCCUCCUCUUCGGCGACAAGGCAGCUGCCGUCCUGGCGGCGUGCCUAGGCCCCGCGGCGGCGGACCAGCCCGGGUGGGUGCCCCUCGUCCCCACUUGUUUUCCCCCUCCGAUCCGAUCUAUCCGCAGGAGGCUGUAGCUGACCCCCUCUCUCACCUCGCCUUAUGGAUGCAGAUCCGUCGAGGGAUACACCAUCGCCGGUUGGGGAGCAGGAUCUGGCGCUGGGGUUCAAGGUCAACGCCAAGGGCACUGCUGUUGCACGCCUUCAUCAGCGUCAACACCUUCUUCGGUGAGACUGGUGCUGGGAAGCAUGUCCCCGUGCUGUUUUUGUUGAUCUUGAGCUCAUUGUGAUUUAUGAGGUGAGGACUGACACUUCUUCAGUGAGACUGGUGCUGGGAAGCAUGUACUACUUGUUGCAGCGUUACCCUUCUAAGUUUACCGGGCUUGAUAAGGCAUUAAGUGUCUUUAAGAUUGCUGUUAGGACAAUACUGCAAUUCAGGUUGUGAGCAUAUCACUUAUUCCUGAGCAGAAUGGUAGUAUUUGCUUUAAGCAGAGUAGAAAAAAUUUCAGUGUUAAUUUGUUGUGUAUAUACGAGUAGCUCAAAACUUGUUGCCAAAAAUAGAAUAACUCAUGUCUUGCUUGAACUAGACAAGGAAGAUCCAUUGAUCUUUCCUUGAGAUAGAUUGUCUUUGUCGCGUAAGGACUAUAGAAAAUUUGGAUUAAGACAUGGCAAAGCUACAGGAUAUAGAGUACUGUUUUAUUUGGUCUAAAAUAAAUACACGGACAAACUUUUUCACAUAUGUAAUUUGUAUGUACCUCCUCAUAAACCAUUUAUGUUUCAUAGAAUGGAUGGUCCAUCGUGUGGAAGCAUCACGCGGCAUUGUAGUCAUCGAUGAAGGACUUAUGAUGGUGUCCAAUGACUCGACAAUAUGAAAAAUUAAUCUAUUUUGCAGCUGGUUAUUGAUUGCUGGUUAGAGAGGAACGACUACAAUGAUUGUCUACAAGAUGUUUUUAGUUCAUAUUUCCUGGUUGAUGGAUUCAAACCUGUGCAACAACAUAAGUUUGAUGCGCUCUGUGAUCAUGUAUGCAGGACGAGCAGUACCUGGGGAAGAUGAAGCAGCCACACCUGGACAACAUCCAGUUCCAGAAGUAGGUGCAGCUGCAGGUGAUCAGACGUCGAUCUGUUGGGAACGGAAGGGAGCUGUUCCAUGCACCGAAUCUGGGGAGAAAAUCACCUUCGGCAUGUACGCCAUCACCUUGGGCAUGCUCAUGGUGCUGCUGCUCGGGCUUGAUUGACUCCAGCAGCACCCCCACGGUGACGCUGCGCUCCUCCUAGCCCCCAUCUCAUGUGCGUUUUGUUCCUGUAGUCGUCUUUCCGUUUGAUUUUGAGCCAUGGCCGCCAUGGACAACACUCAGGAUAUAUAUGCAUUUCUUAUCAUAUGAUAUAUUGUCUGUUUCCCCUGUUGAAAUAGUGUGCCUACCAGUAUUAUGUGAUUUCUAUCCUGCAAUGCUACGGCGGUACUGUAAUUGUUGCUACUGUAUUCUUAUAUUGUAUGUAUCCACCAAUCAGCUAGCAAAUUAAUUAAUUCGUGAGUGGUAUCCUCUACACCCAUGUUCUGUUGUAGCUUCUAGUAUGUGUUUAUCUACAAAAUCUGUAUGGUCAAAAUCUGUAGUUAUUGUGGAUAGCAAUCUGUUACUGAAUUUACUUUAUUUAUAUGUAUGGUCAUCUACAGAUGCAUAUCUUGUAGAAAAAUAUAUCUUGUAGAAAAAUAGCUUGUGAAUGUCAAUCUCAUGUAUCAGGGUCCUGUUCUUGUAAACCUUAUGUAAAGCUAAAAUUCUUGCUGUGCAGGGUGACUAGUGAUGCAACACACCAAGCAGUAGCAGGCAACCAAGCAGCAGCAGGGGGAGGGGCUCUCUCGAACGUCGCCGCUGCCACUCAUUGCUACUGUCACUGAUUGAUGAUGGAUGAUCGCUGUUAGUUUAGCUCAGUCGCUGUUCGUUUAGCUCCUUGGUAGUCCCUACUGCUGCUGGUAGAAAUAGAAAUGGUAGUUGUAGUCCCAUGUAGUUGUAGUACCAUGUAGUUCCUCUACUCGGGCUGCCCUUUGUUGCUUCAUUUCUAUGUUAAUUUAGUCUGUUGAAUGUAUCUACUAUCUACUUUGUGGCUGUGGCUGUUGAAAGAAAUAAAAUGGUUUGGAUACAUGUGUACAUGCUGAUAUGUCAAGCUGGAAUAGCUGCCCUUGUGAUGUCAAGCUUCUAAAUGUAUGUUGUGGAGGCCCAAAAUAAAUUGGAUUGUAAAAGGGCUGAGGCCCAAAAAAAGAA